rnacentral:rRNA from 1 species
GGAAGGUCCUCAGGCCGAAAGGGGCUCUGCCCGCCCGAGGAUGGGCCGGCGGCCGAUUAGGUAGUUGGUGGGGUAACGGCCCACCAAGCCGAAGAUCGGUACGGGCCAUGAGAGUGGGAGCCCGGAGAUGGACACUGAGACACGGGUCCAGGCCCUACGGGGCGCAGCAGGCGCGAAACCUCCGCAAUGCGGGCAACCGCGACGGGGGGACCCCCAGUGCCGUGGCAACGCCACGGCUUUUCCGGAGUGUAAAAAGCUCCGGGAAUAAGGGCUGGGCAAGGCCGGUGGCAGCCGCCGCGGUAAUACCGGCGGCCCGAGUGGUGGCCGCUAUUAUUGGGCCUAAAGCGUCCGUAGCCGGGCCCGUAAGUCCCUGGCGAAAUCCCACGGCUCAACCGUGGGGCUUGCUGGGGAUACUGCGGGCCUUGGGACCGGGAGAGGCCGGGGGUACCCCUGGGGUAGGGGUGAAAUCCUAUAAUCCCAGGGGGACCGCCAGUGGCGAAGGCGCCCGGCUGGAACGGGUCCGACGGUGAGGGACGAAGGCCAGGGGAGCGAACCGGAUUAGAUACCCGGGUAGUCCUGGCUGUAAAGGAUGCGGGCUAGGUGUCGGGCGAGCUUCGAGCUCGCCCGGUGCCGAAGGGA